rnacentral:misc_RNA from 1 species
AGAAGGAUUCCUCAUCAUCUCAGUCAAUGAAAAAUCCAAACUUUGAUGUAUACACUGGUCAAGCAUCAGUAUCAGAACCUCUGCCAUCAGGGAGUACUGAGGAAACGCUGGAGUCAUUACCGAAAUCGCCAACUAAAAUAUUACGCGGAUCUACAUCAUCUCAUCACAAUAGAAGUUACUUUGCUCAGAGAAGAGAUGGGGCACAUCAAGACACAUCAUCCACUCAUCACAACAGUAGAGGACCCCCCGCACACAGAGGAAAUCCAAAUGGAGGUCCUAUUUAUGCACAACAAAGUUACAGGAAAUAUGCAUCAGGAAGAGGAAAUGGGCUUAUUGGAGCUGCUCUACAUUCUCGUCAGAGUAAUAUGGGCAUGGGCAGAGGAAAAGUGCCAAAUGGUGUUCCUCAACACAAUCAUCGCAGCACAGGAAUCCAAUUCCGUGAUGGUGUUACUCAACACAAUCAUCGCAACACAGGAAUUCAAUUUCGGGAUGGUGUUCCUCAACACAAUCAUCGCAGCACAGGAAUCCAAUUCCGUGAUGGUGUUACUCAACACAAUCAUCGCAACACAGGAA